UGGGGAAUCUUGGACAAUGGGGGCAUCCCUGAUCCAGCGACGCCGCGUGGGUGGUAAGGCCUUCGGGUUGUAAAGCCCUUUCACCGGGGAAGAUGAUGACAUUACCCGGAGAAGAAGCGCCGGCUAACUCCGUGCCAGCAGCCGCGGUAAGACGGAGGGCGCUAGCGUUGUUCGGAAUCACUGGGCGUAAAGGGCGCGUAGGCGGCUGUUUAAGUCGAGGGUGAAAGCCCGGGGCUCAACCCCGGAACGGCCUUCGAAACUGGGCAGCUCGAGACCGGAAGAGGAAAGUGGAAUACCCAGUGUAGAGGUGAAAUUCGUAGAUAUUGGGUGGAACACCAGUGGCGAAAGCGGCUUUCUGGCUCGAACCUGACGCUGAGGCGCGAAAGCGUGGGGAGCAAACAGGAUUAGAUACCCGCGUAGUCC
rnacentral:rRNA from 1 species